CUACGGAGGGUGCAAGCGUUACUCGGAAUCACUGGGCGUAAAGCGCGCGCAGGCGGCUAUUUAAGUUGGAUGUGAAAGCCUACGGCUCAACCGUAGAACUGCAUCCAAAACUAUUUAGCUAGAGUGUGGGAGAGGAAGAUGGAAUUAGUUGUGUAGGGGUAAAAUCCGUAGAGAUAACUAGGAAUACCGAAAGCGAAGGCAAUCUUCUGGAACACUACUGACGCUGAGGCGCGAAAGCGUGGGGAGCAAACAGGAUUAGAAACCCUAGUAGUCC
rnacentral:rRNA from 1 species